rfam:Gossypium arboreum cultivar AKA8401 contig_2782_1, whole genome shotgun sequence.
UGUUAAAAAUUUAUCCUCUUCUACUUUUAAAAACUGGUGACCAAUGAAAUAGCAAGAUAGUUACACAUGGCAUGUUAGGUGUACCUUAUGCUAACGUACAAGAACCAAUUUUUAACAGUAAAAUGAAUGAAAUUUUAAACA